CUGCGCCGAAGUUGCGGAAUUGCCGAGUAUUGAAUUAUGAAUUUAAUUCGGCCACUGAAGGCUCUAUUUAUAAGUGCAGAGGGGCACACUAUUUUGGAAGAUUACUGGCCUGGGAGUGGAUUGAGUGCGCGAGUGUCCACGUGAAGGAAUGGCGAGGUGGCGCUGGUGGUCCACGUGAAGGAAUGGUCCACGCGUAUGAGCUUGCAAGAGUGGGCUGGCGGGUCCACGCGAAUUGGGCCGUCCAAUGGCGUGAGUGGUGAGCUCGCCCAUGUGAGGAAGAAAUUGCAGGCCAUGUGAAGAUGUGAGGGAGUUUGCAGUGGCUUGCAUGGGCCAUGUGCGUGGAUGGCAUUUGGCGGGCCCCCGUGAAGUGAAUGUGCAUGAGUGGAGAAAUGCUUUGGUCCAUUUGCAAGGUAGAGUCCAUGUGCUGGCGGGUCCACGUGCAGCGAAGGUGCGGGAGUGUGGAGCGCGGCCCAUGUGCAAGUGACGUGCGGAAGUGUGCUGUGCAUGGCCCAUGCGAAAGGUGGAAUUGGUGUUGAAUGCAGGGCAUACGCGCUGGGUCCUCGCGAAGGACUUGGUCCACGUGCUGGUGAUUGGCCCAUUUGCGUGAAUUCUUUAGUCCAAGUGUUUCAAUAUUUAAGCUUUAAAAUAUUUUUCCCACUCAGCUUGUCUUGAAUCUAAUUUGGCAGACUUUCUCUUUUUUGCUCCAAAUAAGGCGGUUUUAGGGGGAUUUUCUCCAAAUUGUCCUUUUACACCAUUUUCUGCAAAAUAAUAUUAAAAGCAAUAAAUUAAGCAGAAAUUAUGUAAAUAUUCAUCAAUAAUAUUAAUAUAAAAUGGACUAAAUUAUGCUCUAUCAAAUACUACCACACUUAGCCUUUUGCUUGUCCUCAAGCAAAUAAACAUAGUCAAAUAAGAUUUCUUACUCUAGAUCCUUAUUUCCACUUAAACUCUUACUCAAGACACCUUUUUUGAAGCAUUGCAGUGAAGAGUAUAUGCAUGAAGAUUCCUUACCUCUUUUCUUUGUUUCCCUUUGCUUACCAUGGCUAAGAUUUGUUUUCCUCAAGAGAGACAUGCACAUUAAUUUGUUAAGACUUUUUCUAGCCUUUGGAUUGACUUGCCCUUACCUUGAAGUACUUUAUUCAGGCUUUUGCACUUUAGAUCUUGCUUGGAAAGGUCACAACCUAUUUUUGAUGUCAUGGUUUAUAUUUUUCAGUUGGUCACCCAUCCAAGUGGCUACUAGCCUUGUUCAUAGUCUUUUGACCAUUGGAACAGUUUUUAAUUUUGUGCUUUUGAGGUCUUUGCCUUUGCUGAAUUUUCUUUCUCUCAAUGAAUUGGGCAAAUCAACGUCAAUUGCUAAAUCAAGUCACAUUAAGUUCAUUCACACAAUUUUCAAUUUAUUCUCAAUCAAUUGAGGGUCAUCAAUAUAUUUUUCACCAUGGCAAACUCAAAGAUUCAAUUCAAAAGGCAAUUCUCAAACAUGAAUACAACUCACUGCAAUUGAUUCAACAUAAGUUUAAAGAGUUAUCACAUUAAUGGGGUCAUGGAAAGAAAAACUCAUUCAACAUAGUUCAUCAGUUUGAGUAGAGCAAAAACAAAAAGAAGAAGAAGGUUGUGGUUGUGUGUGUUUUAUUGAAAGCAUAAAUAACAAUGAAAAAUUUUUUCCUAAUGCAAGCAAACUAGAGAUUAAAGCAAAAAUAAACUUAAAAGUAAAAAUUCAGAGAUAUGCACCCCCACACUUAAAUCAUGCAUUGUCCUCAAUGUAUAAGAAACAUAAAAGAACAAAGGAAAUUGAGUACUCCCCUGGGUGUGGUGUGCAUGGUAUGAUCCUCUUGAUCAAGGCUCAAGUAAUUAGAGAAGGGAAAAGAGUCCCAACUGUAUUGAGCAAAAAGUGUAGCGCUCCUUUUGAUUUGGUCAUAGCCCAUCCUACUUUUUCCAUGUACUCAUGAAGUAGCAUGAUUAGCUUUUUCUCUUUCAGAUGAGGUGUGCCUCUAGCUCUCAUGUUUGCAUUCUUGGGAUGAUUGGGUAACAUUUUGAACUCCAAUUCAUGUUUUUCUAUGGCUAGCUGCAAUUUGGUACUGAAUUCAGGCAAAACAAACUCUACCUUAUCCGGAGGUUUGGGAAGGCAUUGAUCUGCAUGCUCCUUUGGUUUAGGUGCUUGGAAUACCAUUUGUUCCUUGUGAGCAUGGACUGUUUGCGUUGGCUCUAUGGCUGACAUGGUUUCAGUUUGCUCCUUCUGCACAAGAUUGGCUAUUUCUCUUUUUAUGACCGAAAAUAAACUGAACAAUAAUAAACUUAAAAAUGAGAUAAAAACUGGAAGUGUUGCAGGACUGUCUUGCGCAAGGCUUUUGGCAGAACUGGAUCAAGGGGCCUCCUUUUGCGCAAGGUCUAACUGAAAGGGAGGACUGGAGGAGCUUGACUGUGUUGGAAGUUGAAAGGACGCGAUGGAGAUGGUUUCAGUCUGCAAUGAGAGCUGAGGUGAAGGGUCCGGCGGCCGAAAGAUGGUGGAGUUCAAUGGCUGAAAAGUCAUGGCUUCAGUUUGCGCAAGUCCUUCCUGAAGUGGUGUAACAACAUUUUCUUCAUCCUCCGCUUGGCUGCAGUCUACCUGUUGGAUGCAAUAGUCAGUUUCUUUCAAUUCUGGCUCUUUCUGGCUCUCUUCCCUGUAAAGAUCAUCAUUUAGUAUAUCAUCAUAAAAUACAUCUUUACUCAAACGAUCAAUAAUAUCAAGACUAUCAACAAGUUCUGCUUGAUCAGUUUGUUUGGACAAACAGUUUUCUGGUUGUGUCUCUUCAGCAGCUUAUUCUUGAAUUUGCCAACUUUCCUCAUCUGUCUCAUCAGCUUGAAGCUCUUCCUCUUUUCUUACCAUGUCUGUUCUCCAUUUGGCAGCUAUUCGAUCCACUUCCUGUUGGACAUUUUGCAAAGUUUCCAACAUUUUAUAAAGUUUAGUUCUGCGAUCUUCAGGUAUUGCUUGGGCUUGAUAGUUUUUGUAGUAGUUAUCCCUUCCAUAGUCAUAAUUUGGUUGGUCUCCCCAACAUGGACGUACUUCAAGAGCUUGUUCAGCUUGGUCUAUAAUAAAACUUCUUGCAGCAGCGAUUUGUUCAUAAAGUUCCGCAAGGCGAAAAGGUGUACUUGCCUCAUCCAUGAUUUAGAUCUGCGAUGGUGACUUCUUCAGAGGCAGAUUCAGUUGUGCUUUUUUUAUUUUUUUAUUUUUAUUUUUUUUUGUCCUGAAAGAAAAACAAAUAAGUUAAAUCAACUCUCCGGCAACGGCGCCAAUUUUUGACUCGCGGUUGUCGAAGCCGGUAAAAAAUAACCUUCUUGGUUAUCAACAAUUUACAACUGCAGAUAGUGGUGAAGGAUCGAAUCCACAGAGAAUUGAUUACCUAUUUAUUUUUCUCAACAAGACCAAUAAAAUAAACUGAAACAAUGAGAUAAACAAAAAAUAAGAUAAACUGAAAGCAGAAUAAAAAUAAAUUGCAGUAAAAGUAAAAUAGGGGGGUUUGAGAUUGAUUUGAUUAACAAACUACUAAAAGCAAUUAAAAUAAGCGAAUAAUAAAAUAAAAGAGAAAUAAAUAAUAAGAAAGCUCUAGUUGAAGUAUUGGAUCCACUUUAGUCGUUGGGAUUGAUCACAGACACUUUGUUUUUUUGGGUUGAUUCAAUAGAUUAGUUUAUGGAGAUGGAAGACGCUUCUCACCACCAUUAUCUCUCCUUAUGAUUAAACCAAUUAGGGAACGUCCUCUAAUUAAUUACUAAUCAACAAAUUGCCAAGGAACGUCCUUGAGUCUUAGAUAUCAAAACAAUUGUCAAUUGCAUUAAGAAAUAGAGAGAUCCAAUCCUAGCUACCCAAACGUAUGGAGAUAACGCUAAAUCAUGCAAUUUCCUUGGUUUUAUCCCAAGUGUUCUCAUGUAAGAAUAAUCCAAGCAAUUACAGACUUAAAUUAUUCAAACUAACAAAUAAUUAUUUUGCAAUAAAAAAUCAACGUAGAUUUUAGUAACAAAAUAAUAUGAGAAUUAAAUAUGAAAUUGCAUGAAUAUUGAAUUCUCAAAAUUAAAUAAUAUUUGAUCUAAGUCUUACAACCCAUUAAACAACUAAAGUUUCAACCAAUAUUCAAUUAGAUAAAAGAAAUCAGUCACUCAUUGACUGAAUUUAAAAUAAAAAAAUAAAAGAAAAAGAAAGAAAGAAGAACCGAAGAGAGCUGCACGGAACUUGCAGAAUUGCCGAGUAUUGAAUUAUGAAUUUAAUUCGGCCACUGAAGGCUCUAUUUAUAAGUGCAGAGGGGCACACUAUUUUGGAAGAUUGCUGGCCUGGGAGUGGAUCGAGUGCGCGAGUGUCCACGUGAAGGAAUGGCGAGGUGGCGCUGGUGUUCCACGUGAAGGAAUGGUCCACGCAUAUGAGCUUGCAAGAGUAGGCUGGCAGGUCCACGCGAAUUGGGCCGUCCAAUGGCGUGAGUGGUGAGCUCGCCCACGUGAGGAAGAAAUUGUAGGCCAUGUGAAGAUGUGAGGGAGUUUGCAGUGGCUUGCAUGGGCCAUGUGCGUGGAUGGCAUUUGGCGGGCCCCCGUGAAGUGAAUGUGCAUGAGUGGAGAAAUGCUUUGGUCCAUUUGCAAGGUGGAGUCCAUGUGCUGGCGGGUCCACGUGCAGCGAAGGUGCGGGAGUGUGGAGCGUGGCCCAUGUGCAAGUGACGUGCGGAAGUGUGCUGUGCAUGGCCCAUGCGAAAGGUGGAAUUGGCGUUGAAUGCAGGCCAUACGCGCUGGGUCCUCGCGAAGGGGUUGGUCCACGUGCUGGUGAUUGGCCCAUUUGCGUGAAUUCUUUGGUCCAAGUGUUUCAAUAUUUAAGCUUUAAAAUAUUUUUCCCACUCAGCUUGUCUUGAAUCCAAUUUGGCAGACUUUCUCUCUUUUGCUCCAAAUAAGGCAGUUUUAGGGGGAUUUUCUCCAAAUUAUCCUUUUACAUCAUUUUCUGCAAAAUAAUAUUAAAAGCAAUAAAUUAAGCAGAAAUUAUGUAAAUAUUCAUCAAUAAUAUUAAUAUAAAAUGGACUAAAUUAUGC
rnacentral:lncRNA from 1 species